CUUAUACUCCCUCCGUCCGGAAAUAUUUGUCAUCAAAAUGAAUAAAAAGGGAUGUAUCUAGACGUAUUUUAGUUCUAGAUACACCUCUUUUUAUCUAUUUUGAUGACAAGUAUUUUCGGACGGAGGGAGUAUUAG
rnacentral:pre_miRNA from 1 species